AACGAACGCUGGCGGCAGGCUUAACACAUGCAAGUCGAACGAGAAUCUACGGAUCGAGGAUUCGUCCAAGUGAAGUAGAGGACAGUGGCGGACGGGUGAGUAACGCGUGAGGAACCUGCCUUUCAGAGGGGGACAACAGUUGGAAACGACUGCUAAUACCGCAUGACACAUUGGGGUCGCAUGGCUCUGAUGUCAAAGAUUUAUCGCUGAAAGAUGGCCUCGCGUCUGAUUAGCUAGUUGGUGAGGUAACGGCCCACCAAGGCGACGAUCAGUAGCCGGACUGAGAGGUUGACCGGCCACAUUGGGACUGAGAUACGGCCCAGACUCCUACGGGAGGCAGCAGUGGGGAAUAUUGGGCAAUGGGCGCAAGCCUGACCCAGCAACGCCGCGUGAAGGAAGAAGGCUUUCGGGUUGUAAUCUUCUUUUGUCAGGGACGAGUAGGAGACGGUACCUGACGAAUAAGCCACGGCUAACUACGUGCCAGCCGCCGCAGUAA
rnacentral:rRNA from 1 species